rnacentral:rRNA from 1 species
UACGGGAGGCAGCAGUGGGGAAUAUUGCGCAAUGGGCGAAAGCCUGACGCAGCAAUACCGCAUGGGUGAGGAAGGUCUUCGGAUUGUAAAACCCUGUCAAUGUGGAAAAACGGCAUCUAGUCGAAUAGGCUAGGUGAUUGAUGGUACACAUAAAGGAAGCACCGGCUAACUUCGUGCCAGCAGCCGCGGUAAUACGAAGGGUGCAAGCGUUGUUCGGAUUUAUUGGGCGUAAAGCGCGCGCAGGCGGAUUUGUAAGCCAGAUGUGAAAUCUCGGGGCUCAACCCCGAAAGUGCGUCUGGAACUGCUAAUCUAGAGUGAUGGAGGGGAGUGAGGAAUUUCGCAUGUAGGGGUAAAAUCCGUAGAGAUGCGAAGGAACACCAGAGGCGAAGGCGUCUCUCUGGCCAUCUACUGACGCUGAGGCGCGAAAGCGUGGGGAGCAAACAGGAUUAGGUACCCUGGUAGUCCACGCCGUAAACUAUGUGCACUAGAUAUUGGCGCAUUGACCGCGUCAGUGUCGUAGCAAACGCGUUAAGUGCACCGCCUGGGGAGUACGGUCGCAAGACUA